AACACAUAGAAACACGGAUCAUGACACUUAGUAGUGCAUUGCUGACUUGCUACCAGAGCAGAUAGCCUGACUAAUCAACCAGCUUGUAGUUGUGCUUCUCAGAAAUACACAUUUAAAGGCGCAGUAUGUUACUUUGAUAAACAAUCUUUCUUUCCUUUUACUUAUUUGUUCAAACUUGUCAUUAUAUGAUGACAGUGUAACAUGAAACAAACAAUCUGUGAAAUAAAAAAAUCAAGCUCCUAUAUGUCUCCUCCCUAUGGUCCUACAGCCAUCUGCAAAAAUAUGCUGCUUCUGAUCAAAAACAAGCUAUCAGAGCCAGGAGGAAGGUCUUGGUGCUGUCAAUGAUGCUCGUGUAUGUGUUGGCGGAGAAACAACUCACCGUCACAGGAAAACUGGUUAUCCACCAUCAUCAGUAGCCAUGCUUACUCACCUGUGUAUUCAUGACAGGCUCUGUUGUGGGAGGGUGUGAGCAGUGCAUACACAUGCAUGAUUGACAGUGCUAAGUCCCUCCUCCUGGCUUUGAUUGGUUGUUUUUAACCAAUUUCUAGAGAUGACUGUAGAACCACACGGAGAGGACAGAGAACCUUUAUUUAUUUUCCGUCUCAUGUUACACUGUCAUGGCACAUGGUUUCAGCAAACAUGUAAAAAAACAACAUGUUUAUAAAAGUUACAUACAGUUUUAAAACUGCAAAAAACAUGUAACAGGUGUUAAUUUUAUAUUUUGUUUUAUCUAAGACGAAAUACCAAAAUAACAACCACAAAAAAUACACGCUGUCAGUCAGAUAAUCAUUUUCCCCAGUUUACAACCAACAAUAGCAACUUGUUCUAGACAUGUGAUAAUAGAUAUUUCAGAACAAUGGCCAGGGUGGCAUUUCAUCGGAAUCUCAUUUCAGCCUUUGCCUUAUAAGGGCUGCUUAGAAAUAACUUUCCUUUAUUCAAAUCCAUUUCUUUUUGCCAAAAUCGUCUUCUUAUUAAUGAGUCACUGCUUUGUUCAGACAGUGUGUCUGCUGGGGGCCAAUUAAAGAAGCGCAGGAGUCAACUGACUAUUGCAUGUUGAAUCCUUUCCUAUUUCUGAGCUGUGAAAUGAACCGGCGAGGGAACACUUUGUGUGUCUGCUGCGAAUCUGUAGAUUAACAGAACAUUGUAAUACGGCAGCAACGCUGUGUGAUUCGGAAAUCCAGCUCUGACUAACAGUUUUCUCCUAAUUCCCGUUACUUCAAGGUGCUAAUUAAGCACAAUUUCUGAGAGGCUUUCACCUCCCCUCGCAGGCGCUCGGUGCAAAACAUUCAACAUUCAGAGCUGAACCGGAUUCUGUUUGUGUUAUUUGCCACACCGCUCUUUGAGACUGUUUUUCUUUAAUUUUUAUUUUUUACCCAUGGUAGCAUAGCAACAGCCGAUAAACAGCCUGCUUGAAAGGUAGCUGUCCAAAAUGGUGCAGGCUAUGCAUUUCAUAAAUCCCCUCGCCUGAGAUCCCUACGGGCCUGGCCACCUGGCACAAAAGCAGGUGUUUUCUCUAGGACUAGUCCCCAGUACUUCCAAACGAGGUAUUUUCCCGAUUUCUCAGCUUUUUAAAAUGCACCUUCUGUCUUGUUAAUUAUUCAUUAUGCUGAGCAAUACACUUUGUGUUUUUUUAUAAUGUAUUCUGCAGGAAUAAUGAAGGAUUCACCUUCAGUCACUCCCGUCUAAAGAAUAAUUUCUGUGUGUAAUCCCGUCGCCUGCAGCAAAGAUGUGAAGAUGCUUCUCACAGAUUUCUAACAUUUUUGAAUAUUUUUGCCACACUUAGACGUUUCAGAUCAUCAGCAAAUUUCAAUAUUAGACAUGAAAGAUCAGCUUUUAGGUCUUUAUUUAAUUGAUUGAUUUUAAAAAAGCUGUCCAAACCAGCUUGUCUAAACGAGUUAUAAUUUUUUUCUUUUAUAGAAAGCUGAAUUCAGUUUCACCAGACCCAAUUACUGCCAGACCUGCAGAAUCAGGGAAUCAGUUAAACAGAACUUCCUUAAAUUAGGCUAAAACAUCUCAAAACAGACAAAUGUGGCACCAAGGCUAAAGUAAAGCUUGUCUGUCUGUUGCCUGAUUAAUAGACAUUUGUGGAAUUAAUAAUAUAAUUACUCAUUCGGGGGAAUUAAAAAAUGAUCUCAUUAACAUGCAAAUUAUGCUCUGGAUGGAAAAUCGUCUUGGAAUUCAUAUUUAACACACAGAAGAAUUACCAAAUCACAUCGGCUUGACAUGUAUAGCCUGUAGGGGAUUUAUUUACAAAUGCAGUUGUGCUUGACAGAGUUAUGAAAAUGAUUUCCUGACAUUUAGAGUGAAAUUAUGGUGAAAAGUCAUUAAAUAGGGAAUCAAAGUUUGUAAAAGCUUGGAGAAAAUAAUGCAAAAAUGAUCAAAAUAACAUCUUGGAAUUGAUGUUGAGUUUUAAAUCGUUUGAAUCUAUGCCUAUCAAACGUGAUGGAGCUCUAUUGGUUG